UCGAACCCAGGGCCUGUAGCGUUUUUUGAUAUGAGGAUGAAACGCGUACGAGGCCCUGGUACAACAGACUUACUCAACCAAUGAGAAUGCGUAUACGGCUUUUUUAAAUUAUGCUAAAAAGAUAAUAAAUGCAGAAGUAUUUUUUGCAAGCACAGCAUUUUAUAGUAACAACAAAUAUGGCGAUGAGCAUUACGCAGAUUUUUUGGUAACUUGUUUAUGAAGAAAAUAUUUAUUAAUUCACGUUAUUUUUGACUUUCCUUGCAUCGUUACAAAUUUAUCGGUGCUGUUCAAAAUUUUUAAACAUUAUUUUUGUUGUUUCACUGAUGGGAAAAAGGCAGCUGACAAGUCAAAUGGAAUGGUGCGAUGAACAUCUGUCCUGCUAACGAAAGUAGCAGGCAAAGGGAAAGAAAAUAUCACACCACAUAAAGUUUAUAGUGGAUGUGAUAAAGUGUGUAGACUGUGUGCUGAGACUGACUUAAAACGAUUUAGUCAAAUUUUUGGAAAUAUUGGAACAUCAAAACAACUUCAAGAGAAAAUACAAGGCACUGUGGGUAUCACAAUUGUGCAAACUGAUAACAUAAAUGAUAUAAUCUGUCGUAAAUGUCGUAUCCACAAUGUUAUAAAACUCCAUGGCUGCAUCAUGUGUGGCUUGGUCGUGAUCUGCCAGUAUAUUAUCAAGCUCAUCUGAUAGUUUCUUUAAACUCUCAUCUGAUACUUCUCUAUAUUUAAUAAGUUCCUCUUUUUUAGGUUCUUUCAAGAGUGAAGAAUCACAAUUGCUACAGCAUUGAUCCUGGGGUUGAUAAUGAUAUCCAAAGUGAAUCAUCAAUACUUUACGAAGGCAUUGUGUCGUAGUACAAAAAUUCACCAUAUGUUCAUCAACUUUAUUUUGUUUUAAACGCCUACUGCUGAUAUCAUGCCCGGUAUAGUACAAUCUUGCCAAUGCUUCUUGCCCUCUUCGACCAGCCCGUCCAAAUUGCUGCAUAUAGUCUUCGAUGGUACUUGGUGGACUUAUAUGGAAAAUUUGUUCGAUAUAGGGUGCAUGAACACCCAUACCAAGCGCAGAAGUUGCUAUUAUAACGCGAAUGUUUGAAACUUCUUUUGCAACUUCAAGGAGAAUUUCGUUUUUCAUUGACUUUGUUUGUGGUGCGUGAAAUUGCACAAUUAAACAAUUGCUAGGGUUUGUUAUGUUUUCAACAUACAUGUGUUCCUUUAAUACAUUUUUUAUUAACUUAUAUAUAUACCCACAAAACCUCAAUCCACAAUAUAUAAUAGUUUGAGGAAAACUUUUCUUUAGUGAUUUUAGCUCCUUUGCAAGUGGCAAGAUGAUAUUUUCAAUACCUUCUUCACCAACUUUUCUCUUUUCUUUGCACAUGUAUACAUUUUUUCUGUUUGGAUUAACAGAUAUUAUUGUUGGGGUUUUCAUUCCAAGUAUAUGUUUUAUUUUAGCCAGUGUUUUUUCUGUUGCGGUAGCUGUAAGUGCGAUAAAAGGUACCUCUCUAAAAAAAGCUCGCAUUGCUCCCAAGUUUUCAAAUUCUUUGCGAAAUUCUUUUCCCCUUAAAGAUAAAGAAAUAUAUAUAUAUUUUAGGAUUAACAUUUUGUUAGUUAUAUAUAAUAAUUUUGUUAGUUAUAUAUAAUUUUAUAUCUGUUUUAUAUUAUAUAUAUACAUUUUUGUUAUUCAGUUGUUGUACAGAUAUUCUUGUCUUUGUUAUUUUAUUAGCAUUUUGCAAUUAACAUUACAUUAUUGCAUAUUUCCUUAUUAGAGAAAUUAUUCUUGUAUAUAUAUAUAUAUACAUAUAUAUAUAAUAUUUAACUUUUUUAAAGUUGUAGCUAUAUAUAUACCUAUAUAAAUAAAGUAGUACUUACCAGGUGUCCAAGCA